rnacentral:rRNA from 1 species
UACGUAGGCAGCAAACGUUGUUCGGAGUUACUGGGCGUAAAGGGUGCGUAGGUGGCUCUAUAAGUAUGGUGUGAAAUCUCCCGGCUUAACUGGGAGGGUGCGCCGUAGACUGUGGGGCUAGAGUGUGGGAGAGGAAAGUGGAAUUCCUGGUGUAGCGGUGAAAUGCGUAGAUAUCAGGAGGAACACCGGUGGUGUAAACGGCUUCUGGACCAUAACUGACACUGAGGCACGAAAGCGUGGGUAGCAAACAGG